GACGAACGCUGGCGGCGUGCUUAACACAUGCAAGUCGAACGGAAAGGCCCUGCUUGCAGGGUACUCGAGUGGCGAACGGGUGAGUAACACGUGGGUGAUCUGCCCUGCACUUCGGGAUAAGCCUGGGAAACUGGGUCUAAUACCGGAUAGGAGCCAUUUUUAGUGUGAUGGUUGGAAAGUUUUUUCGGUGUAGGAUGAGCUCGCGGCCUAUCAGCUUGUUGGUGGGGUAAUGGCCUACCAAGGCGGCGACGGGUAGCCGGCCUGAGAGGGUGGACGGCCACAUUGGGACUGAGAGACGGCCCAGACUCCUACGGGAGGCAGCAGCGGGGAAUAUUGCACAAUGGGCGCAAGCCUGAUGCAGCGACGCCGCGGGGGGGAUGACGGCCUUCGGGUUGGAAACUCCUUUCGCUAGGGACGAAGCUUUUUGUGACGGUACCUAGAUAAGAAGCACCGGCUAACUACGUG
rnacentral:rRNA from 1 species